rnacentral:rRNA from 1 species
GCAAGUCGAGCGAGAAGGUUUUAUUUGAUUCUUCGGAUGAUUAUAAAACUGGAGAGCGGCGGACGGGUGAGUAACGCGUGGGUAACCUGCCCUAUGGAGGGGGAUAACUAAGAGAAAUUUUAGCUAAUACCGCAUAAGCACACAGGACCACAUGGUCUAGUGUGAAAAACUCCGGGCCAUAGGAUGGACCCGCGUAAGAUUAGCUAGUUGGUAAGGUAAUGGCUUACCAAGGGAACGGACUUAGCCGACCUGAGAGGGUGAUC